AUGCCUUUAUUCUCUCACACUUCUGUAGGCUCUGUUCUUGCCACUAUAUAAAUAUUUUUAUAAAAUAUGACAUUCUGUACACUUGCAAACCCAUUUCCAUGCUUAUAAGUUACUUGAAGGGAUUUGCUUGUAUACUUUAUCCCAGAUUUCUCUAGUGGUACUAUUCUCCCAGUUCUGUUUGUCUGUUACUAUCUGUAACAAUUAUUACACUGAACUUCUGAAAACCUUAAGUGGAAAUGGAUAUGUUAUUUAUAGCAUGUAAAGCGAUAAUUGCAUGCUGUUUGGUACAAACUUAUUUAUCCAAGAGAUUUAUCAUGUUUAAUCCAACACAGACUGAAUCACCUCAGGGAGAUGCGUUUUUGUAUUCUUUGUUCAUGUUCACAGCUGUGGCAACAUAUGUUGUAUUAAAGGUAGCAGACAGGAAAAUAUAAAAUUUAGUGAAUGUGGGGCGAUUUAAUUCUGCCAAGCAGCACAGCAAGAACUCAGUACAGAAUAACCAGCAGAGGGUGCAGCUUAGGAGGCAAAAGCAGAGCCUAAGUUAACUUGAUUCUGCUUUGAGAACAAAGUCUUUAAAAUACCUGAAGGUAUCUCUUGGACUGGAGGCUUUACACAAGAGGUGUGUGUACUUAACCUUACAGCCAGAAUUGGGAGAAGCCUACAAAGUUUUGUUUCCCAUUGGAGAGAAUGCCUCCGUGUGCCUGAUGGACAAAGGAAAAGAGGAGACGUAAUGACUUCUUGCAAACAAGUUGUGUGUUGACUGAAGCUUGUCCUCGGACUAAUGCAGCAUUUGCCAAACUUGUUUUUAGUAAGUAUACAUAAUGGGCUUUAAAGAGAGCAGUGCUUUUAAAGAGAAGCGGUUCCUUGCUCCAUCUCAAGAACUGGAAAAGAUUGUUUAAAAUCCUGUAACGCUGAACGUGCUGGACAAAGAACUGUUGAGAAGACAACAAGGACAUAUUUAGUAGCAGUUCUAUGGCAAGCAUAGAAAGGAUGAUGGCAGCUUUUGGUUUUGUACGUGAACUA